CCAGGUAUAGUUGCCCCCAGGAUAAGUAGCCAGGUAUAGUAGCCCACACUAUUAGGUAGCCAUGUAUAGUAGCCCACAGUAUUAGGUAGCCAGGUAUAGUAGCCCACACUAUUAGGUAGCCUGGUAUAGUUGCUCACAGUAUUAGGUAGCCAGGUAUAGUUGCCCACAGUAUUAGGUAGCCAGGUAUAGUUGCCAACAGUAUUAGGUAGCCAUGCAUAGAUGCCC